rnacentral:rRNA from 1 species
AAAUUUGAAAUCUGGCGCAAGCCCGAGUUGUAAUUUGUAGAGGAUGCUUCUGGCCAGCGGCCGUUCUAAGUUCCUUGGAACAGGACGUCAUAGAGGGUGAGAAUCCCGUAUGUGACCGGCGCGCAGCCUUUACGUAGCUCCUUCGACGAGUCGAGUUGUUUGGGAAUGCAGCUCUAAAUGGGAGGUAAAUUUCUUCUAAAGCUAAAUACCGGCCAGAGACCGAUAGCGCACAAGUAGAGUGAUCGAAAGAUGAAAAGCACUUUGGAAAGAGAGUUAAAAAGCACGUGAAAUUGUUGAAAGGGAAGCGCUUACAACCAGACUUCGUAGCGAUGUUCCGCUGGUCUUCUGACCGGUCUACUCAUCGUCGCGAGGCCAACAUCGUCUGGGCCCGCUGGAUAAGACCUAAGGAAUGUAGCUUCCCUCGGGAAGUGUUAUAGCCUGUGGUGAUGCAGCGCGGCUCGGGCGAGGUCCGCGCUUCGGCAAGGAUGUUGGCGUAAUGGUUGUCAGCGGCCCGUCUUGAAACACGGACCAAGGAGUCUAACAUCUAUGCGAGUGUUCGGGUGUCAAACCCCUACGCGUAAUGAAAGUGAACGGAGGUGGGAAGCGCAAGCUGCACCAUCGACCGAUCCUGAUGUCCUCGGAUGGAUUUGAGUAAGAGCAUAGCUGUUGGGACCCGAAAGAUGGUGAACUAUGCCUGAAUAGGGUGAAGCCAGAGGAAACUCUGGU